rnacentral:rRNA from 1 species
UAAGGAAUAUUGGUCAAUGGACGCAAGUCUGAACCAGCCAUGCCGCGUGAAGGAUGAAGGUCCUCUGGAUUGUAAACUUCUUUUAUCUGGGACGAAAACGGGAUUUUUAUCUCAAUUGACGGUACCAGAGGAAUAAGCACCGGCUAACUCCGUGCCAGCAGCCGCGGUAAUACGGAGGGAGCGAGCGUUAUCCGGAUUUACUGGGUUUAAAGGGUGCGUAGGUGGGCUUAUAAGUCAGUGGUGAAAUCUCCGAGCUUAACUUGGAAACUGCCGUUGAUACUAUAGGUCUUGAAUUAUCUGGAGGUAAGCGGAAUAUGUCAUGGAGCGGUGAAAUGCUUAGAUAUGACAUAGAACACCAAUUGCGAAGGCAGCUUACUACAUAUAAAUUGACG